ACAUGCAAGUCGAGCGGAUGAAGGGAGCUUGCUCCUGGAUUCAGCGGCGGACGGGUGAGUAAUGCCUAGGAAUCUGCCUGGUAGUGGGGGAUAACGUCCGGAAACGGGCGCUAAUACCGCAUACGUCCUGAGGGAGAAAGUGGGGGAUCUUCGGACCUCACGCUAUCAGAUGAGCCUAGGUCGGAUUAGCUAGUUGGUGGGGUAAAGGCCUACCAAGGCGACGAUCCGUAACUGGUCUGAGAGGAUGAUCAGUCACACUGGAACUGAGACACGGUCCAGACUCCUACGGGAGGCAGCAGUGGGGAAUAUUGGACAAUGGGCGAAAGCCUGAUCCAGCCAUGCCGCGUGUGUGAAGAAGGUCUUCGGAUUGUAAAGCACUUUAAGUUGGGAGGAAGGGCAGUAAGUUAAUACCUUGCUGUUUUGACGUUACCAACAGAAUAAGCACCGGCUAACUUCGUGCCAGCAGCCGCGGUAAUACGAAGGGUGCAAGCGUUAAUCGGAAUUACUGGGCGUAAAGCGCGCGUAGGUGGUUCAGCAAGUUGGAUGUGAAAUCCCCGGGCUCAACCUGGGAACUGCAUCCAAAACUACUGAGCUAGAGUACGGUAGAGGGUGGUGGAAUUUCCUGUGUAGCGGUGAAAUGCGUAGAUAUAGGAAGGAACACCAGUGGCGAAGGCGACCACCUGGACUGAUACUGACACUGAGGUGCGAAAGCGU
rnacentral:rRNA from 1 species